rnacentral:tRNA from 1 species
AUUUAAAUAGUUUAAUAAAAAAUAUCGAUUUGUGGAAUCGAAGAUAUAAAAUUUAUUUUAAAUU